GUUCUGGUAGCUGAGGAAUAUAUGGGAACAGCUUCAGCUACAGUGUACCACAGUAUCUGAACGUUGUUCCACAAAGCUUUCAAUGUGCAGAUUUGGAAGCAGCAAUCCAAUUGUAAACCACCUUUCUCUCUCCUCCUCUCUCUCUCCUCUUCCUACUUCUCUCCAUUUCUCCUUACAGUCUCUGUUCCAAUCUCCCGUGGCAAUCUUCCGACCAGCAUGUUUUUCUCCACCAGAGCCCAGAGACCUUGGCGCGGAGUGUUGGACGCCUGACACUGUUGACACGGUGCUGUUUUGCAAUACAAAGCGGACUGUGGUUUAUUUUCGGGAAAACAAUAUUUUCUUUCUACCAUGUUGCAACUUAUUUUCCCAAUUUCAUUAUUUGUUAUUGCUAGUGGUGGAUUAACGUCUAUGCGCUGUUGAUCGGGGGAGAGGGAGAGAAAGCCAGUGAAGGAGAGCAGGGAGGAGAGGAAAGCGGUGGGGAAUCUGUUUGAAGAACACGUCUGUGAUUUCUUUGAGUUCAUACAUGGUAUGUUAUUUCACAAGAGGCUCGUGGUAAGAUAAGAGCUCCCCAUUCAAAUCCAGGUUUGAUCAAGUCUCUCCACCGUCAUGUUUACUGGAUUAAAUGCAAAGCUUUCGCUUAGCCUUUGAGACAACCCUUCCUUGUGUGCGGAGAGAUUUCUUCUCUUUUUUUGACUCUCUCAUUUGUCCCGCCAAAUGAAGGAGAGAUGAUCGAAAGGCAGGAUAGAGCCCGUUAAAUUAUUAUGGAAGGAUGUUUUUUCUUGGUGUCAAGUCUUAGCCUAAUAAUAAAAGGGUGAGAUUUCUUAUUGUCGGGUUGACUGACAUUGAAUGCCGUACAAAAGCCAUGUUUGCGUAGGGAGAGGCCUCAAUCACAGCUGGAAAGAAGGCCUGACAAGGGGCUCAGAGCCUCAGACGAACGGACACAUCUGGAGUUGUGUGGUCUAUGUCACUGUUGGUUCUGUUUGCUUACGCUCAGACCACUCAAACAAAAACAGAGCUUUCCACCCCCUGAGGAAGACGACACAUGCAACAAUUUGAAAGCUUGAAAUAAUAAACAACAAUCACAGAAGGCGGGCAGUUCUCCACGGAGGCAUUUUUCCACUAGCGAAGUCAAUUUGUGGGCACGUAAACAGGGCUAACAUGCCUCUGACCACUCGUGUUUAGAUGGCUCCUCCUCCACACACACACACACACACACACAGAACAGAACAGAACAGCUGUGUGUAAGAUUAAUGCUAUUUCAUGGUGUGCUUGAAAAAAAGGAGGAAAUUGAUUUGGAGAUACCAGAGAGGCAUGAUCAAUUCUGAGGACGACAAAAAGAGAAGAAGACCAGCGAUGCAAAAAGAAAAAAGGAGAAAGUGAAAGAGAAGGUCUUGAGUGCAAUGAGUCGAAGAAAAAGAGUUGUAUGGAGAGAGUGUGUGGGGAGAAAAUGCUCAGUCAUGCCUCAGGAAUGUUGUGGGUGCGCUUGCCGGUGUGACUAAACCAUUUUUCACAGCAGUAAUCUGAGGAAGCCGUCCGUGUGUUGGCAGCGUGGGCUGCAUGGUUGAGCCUGGGAGGUGAGAGGAGGAGAAAGGAGUUGUAAACAAGCUCUGAGGAUUUACAGGCCUGCUGAAAUAGAGUGUUGACCCCUGCAUUCCUCUGAGCAAUGUAUUCUGGAAGAAUCAACACUGGGCCUGAGGUGGACCUCUCUCUCUCUCCCCUGUCUACUCUGGUCUCACCCCUCCUCGUUUUUCUGUAACAUAUUUAUCUGACCACCGAAUGAAGGAAGGCCUCUCUGGGGGAGGGGGGUAGUUAGCCCCCCUCCCACCUGCACACUUGUGACUGUCAUUGGUUUGACUGAUCACCUCGAAUCCGCGAGCAGAUGGUUGGAUAAGUGUCAGCGAUAUUACAUAAGCCACAUUGUUCCUCUGGCGAAGCCAAGAGCGUUGGACUCAUGGGUCUCAUCAUCUAGAAUUAUAUCUGGGAAGGAACAUCGCCAUUAGGUUUCAAACUGAACCAGAACACUGUCGAAAUGACAAGAUAAUAAUCAGGCUAUUAACUCAGGGAUACAUGAUAAAGAGAAAGAGUGAUGAUAUGUGUACAAUUAUGUAAUGAAAUGUAUACUAUACAAUCCUAUAUUAUAUAAGACAGUUUUGAUAAAAAAUGUUAGUGAAUAAUAUUAGAAUGACUCGUAUGAGUAUAUAAUUAUGCCAUAGCAUAUCUAAUUUAUGUAAUCAUUCAGUUUCAGUUCACUUUGAUCUUUCAUGCUUCGAUGACAAUAUAUACUGUACCUGUUAUCUAUAUGAAAACACAGUACUAUCUAGAAUACUGCAUGUGAUCUAACUAGGCAUCAUUACUGUGUACAUUUCUGUCAUAACCCUUGGCUUGCUGGCUAGCAAACAGCACAACAUCCAACUGAUGUGAAGAAUAUGUAGAGUUGAAAAACAAUAAUGGCCCUCUCUUUCCAUCUUUGUCUCAAAUUGCACCCUAUUCCAUAUUUAGUGCGCUAAAUUUGACCAGGCCCCAUAGGGCUCCAUAGGGCUCUGGUCAUAAGUAGCACACUAUGCUGUAUAGGGUGCCAUUUGGGACACAAUAAUCAUUUGCUUUGUAAAGCGGUUUUCAACACAAGUUGCAAAGCGCUUCACAGUACUAACAAAGAAACAAAAACUAGAGGAAGGAGAAGAAAAAGCUCAUUCAAAUCAUACAUUGAAAUAACUCUUUAAAAUCACCUUUAUGAAAGUGUCUUCAGCAGUGAUAUAAUGACGCAGCCCAUGUCUGGGCUCAUUUGUAUUGGCGUAGUCUAAUAAAUAUUUAUCUGUUCAUAGUGAAGGGUGAAUAUCCAAUAACCAGAAACCCUGGUUCACAUUCCCCAACCGUUGUCUCACAUAGCGAAGUGAGAAGGGACAGAUAUUUAUGAGGAACAUGCUUGUACACACACACACACG
ensembl:lncRNA